rnacentral:lncRNA from 1 species
ACCUGUUUGUUUAUAAUAAACAAAAAUGAGCAAUAGUAAUAAUAAAGAUAAUAAUAUAUACAUGUUUACCACUGAUAGUAACAAUGACUUAAAUAUUAACGCUGAAGAUAGUUGGAAUCCUGAAACCACCACUAUCGUUGCUCCUGAUACUGUUGCGCCUGAUGUUGUUACUCCUAAAACCACCACUAUCGUUACUCCUGACACAGCUACUCCUGACACUACUACUCCUGACACUGCUACCACUGAUAUUGCUACUCCUACUUCUUCUACCGAUGUCUAUACUAAGAGUAGAAGUAAGAGUAACAAAAGUAGCUGUUGUUAUAAUGGUAAUAAUAACAACAAUAUGAACAGUGACGAUAAAUCAGAAUGUUUAAAUAAAGAUAAUAUAAUAUAUGAUAAAAUAAAAAAAUAAUAAUGAAAAUGGGAAUGGAAAUGAACAAACCGUAUCCAGUAAUAAUACCCAAAAAAAUUCACAUCGAAGCAUUAAGGAAAUUAAAAUCAAAUCCUGAAAUAAAUUUAAAAAGAGGCCAGGAAAUAAAUAAAAAUACAUGUCUAUACAUUUCAGAUGAUUUAAUGAUAAAAAAAAAAGCAAACAAAAGUGCAAUAAAAAAAUUAAUAAAAAAAAUGUCGAUAAAUACUUUCCAUUUAUAUUUUUUAAAAUGUUUUAAUAAUUAUAUUGAAACUCCUGUGGUUUUGUCUUUGCUAAGGGGUGAUGAAGAAGAUGUUAUAAUCGGUUUAAAAUACCUAUUAGAAAAUAUAGAUCAAAUAAACUUUUUAAUUGUAAAUUCAUUAAAUAAAUUAAAAAAAAAAAAAAAAAUUAAAAGUAAUCAAGUAAUUUUACAUUUAAUCAAUUUUGUAUUGAAAAAGUUAUGUGAGAGUAAUUUAAAUUAUAGUUAUAAAAAAAACCCAAUUAUUAGAUUUUUAUGACAAUCUGAUGUAUAAUAAAAAUACAUUUUUUGAGUCAGGCAUAAUGAACGAUGCACUUAACGUGAAAGAUCUUAGACUUUUAUAUAUAUACAAACACAAUAUAAAAAUAAAAAAAGAAAAAAAUUUUAUUAAACA